rnacentral:rRNA from 1 species
UACGUAGGGUGCGAGCGUUAAUCGGAAUUACUGGGCGUAAAGCGUGCGCAGGCGGUUCGUUGUGUCGGUGGUGAAAUCCCCGGGCUUAACCUGGGAACUGCGCUUGUUACUGGCAAGCUAGAGUGUGGCAGAGGGGGGUGGAAUUCCAGGUGUAGCAGUGAAAUGCGUAGAUAUCUGGAGGAACACCGAUGGCGAAGGCAGCCCCCUGGGCUAACACUGACGCUCAUGCACGAAAGCGUGGGGAGCAAACAGG